GCCCCCAUAGUUUAAUGGAUAGAACAUGAGCUUCCGGAGCUUAUAGUGUGGGUUCGAUUCCUGCUGGGGGCA
rfam:Parcubacteria (Kuenenbacteria) bacterium GW2011_GWA2_42_15 TV02_C0057, whole genome shotgun sequence.